rnacentral:hammerhead_ribozyme from 1 species
AUCCAGCUGACGAGUCCCAAAUGGGACGAAACGCGCGUCCUGGAC